rnacentral:lncRNA from 1 species
AGUUGUGUUAUGAAAAGAGAGAAAAGAAAAGAGACAAGAUGAAAAAAAAAAAGAAAAAAAAAUACAGAAAAAAAUGAGAAAAAAAAUUGUGUAUAAAGGAGUCAAGAAGAGGAUUGAAUUAGAGGUUUUGGGUGUGAGUAUACUGUGUUUACACUUGUUUCCCAUUGCUCGUCUAUUUCCUUUGAUUUGUAGCUUCUAAUCCAUAUUUAUCCUCGCUUUUUCCUUGGC